GGGAAGAUGGGGUGCUGGAGGAGAGCUUGUGGGAGCCAAGGAGCACCUUGGACAUCUGGAGUCUGGCAGGA
rnacentral:sRNA from 1 species